GACAGAGGGGGCAAGCGUUGCUCGGAAUUACUGGGCGUAAAGGGCGCGUAGGCGGGAUGGCAAGUCGGUCGUGAAAUCCUUCGGCUCAACCGAAGAACGUCGAUCGAUACUGCUGUUCUUGAGGGUUGCAGAGGAGACUGGAAUUCCCAGUGUAGCGGUGAAAUGCGUAGAUAUUGGGAGGAACACCAGUGGCGAAGGCGGCUCACUGGACUGGUACUGACGCUGAUGCGCGAAAGCGUGGGGAGCAAACGGG
rnacentral:rRNA from 1 species